GGCUAAGUUACUAAGGGCGUACGAUGGAUGCCUUGGUGCCAAAGGCCGAAGAAGGGCGCGGUUGACUGCGAAAAGCUGCGGGGAGUCGUCAGCAGAUUUUGAUCCGCAGGUGCCCGAAUGGGGAAACCCGGCGAGGGUGAUGCCUCGUCACCGCAUGCUGAAUUCAUAAGCAUGUGGAGGGAACCGCCCGAACUGAAUCAUCUUAGUAGGGCGAGGAAAAGAGAUUAUUCCCUGAGUAGUGGCGAGCGAAAGGGGAACAGCCCAAACUCACGCUGUGUGAUAGGUUGCAGCCGUUGCAGCGUGAGGGUUGGAGGCCGCAACAGAGCCCCCUGCAAGGGGUUCGGAGAGUUGGAGAAAAGCUGUGGUUAGUGGAAGGCCCUGGAACGGCCCGCCACAGAGGGUGAUAGCCCCGUACACGAAAACCACGGCUCUCUCGUUGCUGUGCCUGAGUACCACGGGACACGUGUAACCCUGUGGGAAGCUGGGGAGCCCACUUCCCAAGGCUAAACACCUUUGGCGACCGAUAGUGAACGAGUACCGUGAGGGAAAGGUGAAAAGAACCCCGGGAGGGGAGUGAAAUAGAACCUGAAAUCGUACGCUUACAAGCAGUCAGAGGGCUAUGCCGUCUUGCUGGGACACCGUUCCUGCGCAAGGCAUGUUCUUCGGAACGUGCGGCGCGCGGGGACGCUAAGCCCGCAUUAUAAGACGGAAUGCCUGAUGGCGUGCCUUUUGGAGAAUGAGCCGACGAGUUACUAUGCGUGGCAAGGCUAAGGUCGGAGGGCCGGAGCCGUAGCGAAAGCGAGUCCGAACAGGGCGACUAAGUCGCGUGGAGUAGACCCGAAACUGAGUGAGCUAGCCAUGGCCAGGGUGAAGAGAGAGUAAUAUCUCGUGGAAGCCCGCACCCACCAGAGUUACAAAUCUGGGGGAUGAGCUGUGGCUAGAGGUGAAAUGCCAAUCGAACUCAGAUAUAGCUGGUUCUCCCCGAAAUGCAUUGCGGUGCAGCCUCAGGUUAGAGUGUUGCGGAGGUAGAGCACUGGAUGGGCUAGGGGCCAAAACGGUUACCAAACCCAACCAAACUCCGAAUGCCGUAUACAUGUUACCUGGGAGUGGGACGGUGGGGGAUAAUCUUCAUCGUCAAAAGGGAAACAACCCAGACCCUCAGCUAAGGUCCCUAAAUUCAGACUAAGUGGGAAAGGAUGUCGGAUAGCCCGGACAGCCAGGAGGUUGGCUUGGAAGCAGCCACCCUUUAAAGAGUGCGUAACAGCUCACUGGUCAAGCCGUCUGGCGCCGAAAAUUCAACGGGGCUUAAGUCUGGUACCGAAGCUAGGGCAGUGGCGCUCCUUCGGGAGUUGUCACUGGGUAGGGGAGCGUUCCCUGGGCGGAGAAGCUCGACCGAAAGGACGGGUGGAGCGCAGGGAAGUGCGAAUGUCGGCAUGAGUAGCGUUAGCCGGUGAGAAUCCGGCUCACCGUAAGCCCAAGGUUUCCUCAGGAAGGUUCGUCCUCUGAGGGUUAGUCGGGCCUAAGCCGAGGCCAACGUGGCGUAGGCGAUGGACAUCCGGUUGAUAUUCCGGAACCGCCCAUGUUCGUUAUGAGCGAAGGGGGGACCGGGCAGGGUAGGAGGAGCGUGUUCUUGGCUAUACACGUCCAAGCUGGUAGGCGGGAGCGAUAGGUAAAUCCGUUGCUCUAUUCCAAACGCCGAGAAGCGAUGGAGAGUCCGCGACGCAAGUCAACGGCAAUUCCUUUGAGCCCAGCCUGCAAGAAAAGCCUCUAGCCAGAAUAUGGGCGCCCGUACCGCAAACCGACACUGGUGGGCGGGGGUAAAUGUCCCAAGGUGAGCGGGAGACCCUCUGCUAAGGAACUCGGCAAAUUAACCCCGUAACUUCGGGAGAAGGGGUACCGCGACGCGUGCACCGGCCUUGCGCCGGGAAGCGAGUCGCGGUGGCACUGAAGAGGCCCAACCGACUGUUUAACAAAAACACAGGUCUCCGCGAAAGCGAAAGCUGAUGUAUGGGGGCUGACGCCUGCCCGGUGCCGGAAGGUUAACUUGAUGGGUUCACGCCCUGACGGGAAGCCCCGGUGAACGGCGGCGGUAACUAUAACCGUCCUAAGGUUCACUUCGCGAGCCUUAGUAAAACUGGACCAUAUGCGGGAAACUCCUCGCACAGCCAUCAGGUACUCGUUCACACUCAGUGUGAUCAGUAAAAAGCCUGACGGACAUGGGGACAAUCCGCAGGGAAGACUCUCACAUGACUACAACGAGAGAACCCUCAGAGACUUUACGUCCGGCCUCGUCCCAACGGUUGACGGCGCAAUGGAUCUGCGGCUUUGUCGAUGGAGAAGGUUGCUUCUUCGUUGGCAUCAAUCCACAUCAAGAGAUGACCUCCGGUUUUCAGGUACUGCCUGAAUUCACUGUGGUGCAGCAUGAACGCGAUGUGCAAUUGCUCUACGCUCUGAAGAGUUUCUUCGGGUGCGGAGUAGUCCGCCGCAAUCAUGGUGACCGCAUGUGCUAUCGGGUGCGCGGCGUGCAACACCUCAGAGAGCGGAUUAUUCCGUUCUUCGAGAAGCACGAACUGCGCUCCAAGAAACGAGUGGAUUUCAUCAAGUUUCGACGAAUCCUUUUGCUCAUGGAGCGUGGCACGCACUUGACGGCAGAGGGCAUUGCAGAGAUCCGCGCCAUCGCCGUGCAAAUGAACACAGGACGAGUGAAGAGAAAGUCCGGCCCCUCUGGAAACAGAGUGGGAUAAGUUGCGGCAGAAACGCCGCGAUGUACCGAGCGAAAUUCCUUGUCGGGUAAGUUCCGACCCGCACGAAUGGCGUAACGAGUUGGGCACUGUCUCAGCAGGGGACCCGGCGAAAUUGAAGUACCAGUGAAGAUGCUGGUUACCUGCGGAAGGACAAAAAGACCCCGUGGAGCUUUACUGCACCUUGGCAUUGGAUCGGGGCCGUCGAUGCGUAGGAUAGGUGGGAGCCUAUGAACCUUUCCUCUUGGGGAUUGGGGAGGCAACGGUGAAAUACCACCCUUCUACGAUCCUUAUUCUAACCCCUUGCCGUGAUCCGGGAGGGGGACAGUGUCAGGCGGGCAGUUUGACUGGGGCGGUCGCCUCCCAAAAGAUAACGGAGGCGCCCAAAGGUUCCCUCAGGCUGGAUGGAAAUCAGCCUUAGCGUGUAAAGGCACAAGGGAGCUUGACUGCGAGACAUACACGUCGAGCAGGGACGAAAGUCGGGCUUAGUGACCCUACGGUUCCGAGUGGAAGGGCCGUGGAUUAUCGGAUAAAAGUUACCCCGGGGAUAACAGGCUUAUCUCCCCCAAGCGUUCACAGCGACGGGGAGGCUUGGCACCUCGAUGUCGGCUCAGCGCAUCCUGGGGCUGGAGCAGGUCCCAAGGGUUGGGCUGUUCGCCCAUUAAAGCCGCUACGCGAGCUGGGUUCAGAACGUCGUGAGACAGUUCGGUCUCUAUCCUCCGCAGGCGCAGGGAACUUGCGAGGAGCUGCCCCUAGUACGAGAGGACCGGGGUGGACGCACCGCUGGUGUACCAGUUGUCUCGCCAGAGGCAUAGCUGGGUAGCUACGUGCGGAAUGGAUAACCGCUGAAAGCAUCUAAGCGGGAAGCCAGCCUCAAGAUUAGGUUCCCCACUCUCGCUGCAUUGCGGCGAGAGGUAAGACCCCAGAGAGAUUAUCUGGUUGAUAGGCCGCAGGUGUAAGCGCGGUAACGCGUUCAGCCGAGCGGUACUAAUGGUCGAGGACUUAGCCGC
rnacentral:rRNA from 1 species